AAUUGUUUGGCUGACUGCCCAAGCAAGUGCCUUGAAAGCAUUUAAAAAGAGUUUAAUUCUCUUAACAAUUU
rnacentral:tRNA from 1 species